CGAAGCCUUAACUGACUUUGACUAUGUGGCUCAAAUGCAUUCACAGACACGCAUCGCAAUUGACGGAACUGAAAUCUUUAAGGUUUCAAUUGGCCGGGUUUUUUUUUUUUUUUGCAGCCCGUCGUGAUAAGCGCGAGAGCGCGGGCAAAGCCCAAACGUCGCGAGCUGCUUUUGCGACUAUAAAAGCAGCUGCCGGAGCUUGUUCUAGAUCAGAGUUAAAGAGACAACGCUUCAGCACAAAACCAAUUAUAAAAUAUAUAUAUAUAAACAACAUGCAAUUCGUCAAGAUCUGCGGCUUUGUUUUCGCCAUGAUUGUGGCCCUGGCCAGCGCCGAGCCAGAGCCUCAAGGCACGCUGCUGAUACAAACCAACAAUGCUCAGGGCAUUUUCACGGGCUAGAAAUGUCGCCAGACACACAUUCACUUUAAACAUAUCCUUUGAUCUAAUUUAAACACAAACUUUCCUUAAAAAAUGACAUUAAAAAACUCUUAAAACUUA